CCUUAUCUACACGUUUUUUACUAUUUUAAUGAGGAUGGAUUGAAAAUUGAGGGGACCUAACAUCACUUUUCCAUUUCCAAGAAAGAAAAACACGCAAAAGACCCAUUUGUCAUGAUUCUCCUCACAAUACCAUAGUAAAAGGAUGUGGGGCCAUAAAAAAAGGGGGGACGCCAUUUUGCUUCUUCUUGGGAUUCUUAUAGACAAUUCCAGGAAGGUCUAUGAAAAAAAGAAGAAGGCAUCUUCCAUUUGUAUAUUGAUAUAAUUAACAUUCAGUAAUAAAGGAGGAAGGACACAAGAUUGAUUUCUCCUUCACAUUUUCACACAGCAUAGGCACCAGGAGGUUUUGUUCUUCCUUUUCUUCUCCACUCAUACCCACCCAUACGACACUCCUCCACCCAUAUCGCACCCAUCUCACACCCAUCACUCGCUAUACACCCUCACAGAAGACGAGAGAGAGGGGGACGAAUGCAAAUACGAGAGCUGGGGGAAACACGCCAUUUUUUUUUCUUUUAGGAUCUUCUUAUUCUUCGUGCACAGAAAGCACACGCAAACAGGGGAUGAUGACCUUCAUCCCCUUUUCCUUUUAGGUAGAAGAUAAAUACACCAAAAAGGUUAUUUUCUUUUCGAUCGUUGCUGUUGGGUUUCGAGGUUCUUGAUUUCAGUUACCGGAUUGUCGUCAAUUUCAUCUUGCUCAACUAUGAAUCUGGUUCAUGGAUUGAAUUCAAAAUCACAUUUCAUUCCAUUCAAGUUUGUGAAUUGAAAUCGAAAGCCACAUUAAGAUAGAAGUGCAUUCAUUUGGCCGGGGAAUUCCCCGAAGAUUGAUGUAUUUAUUCACCGAGGAAUGCCCCGACGUACUAUGUUGGCGUAAGACGUUCGUGAGGAAGGUCCAAGGCGUCGGGUAAAGUGGGGGAGCGUAGUUAGGAUUAGUAUAGGUUAGAUAGGAUUUAUUUUUGUAUUUUUAUUUUUGGGACUGUAUAAUUGGACUGAACACUAUACUUUUAUUUUUUUUGUUUGUUUUGUUGGUUGAUUGCUUUACGUGCUUCUUUGUGGUUUGUA